UCCAUGGGGUUUCCCAGGCAAUAAUACUGGAGUGGGUUGCCAUUUUCUCAGGGAUGGAACCCUUGUCCCCUGCGUCUCCUGCCUUGGCAGAUGGAUUCUUUACCACUGAGCCACCGGGGAAGACCCAUCAGGCGAUAGCUAGAUAAAUUAUUUCAUGCAGUUUGUUGAGAGAAAAUAUCUCAAAGCAGAUUUGGGGAGGGCAGAGGAAUAAUAAAGAGGAUCCUUGUGGUGAAAAAUUUUGACUUCAGAGGUUGGUGCAGCUUCCUCAAGUCUCAUGCUUAAGUCAGGGGAAGGCAAGGGCCAUAGGGCCCCAGCAGCGAGACCAUUUCUCUUUCCCUGGAACUGCCCCAGGGAUGGUGGGGAGGUUGACAGAGCUUGACAGUGUUCAGCCGGAGCUCCCUUUUGCCACCUAGUUUCUUCCUGCCUCCUCCCCACGGCUUUUAAACUGUUUCCAGGCAUCCAACUUCCAUUUCAGAAGUCCACCUGGGCGUCUCAGCAGGAACUGUCCUGGAAACACUUCAUACGUCAUGCAGGUGUGAGAGGUGUGGGCGUGGGAAGGCUUGGUGGAGAUGAAUCAGCAUUGUCUUCUCCUGCCUGAGUCAAGAGCCGGGCUGGGCAAGGGCUGGCCGACCCAGACAGGAGGGAGGGAAAGAAUAGGGAGACCAGCCUGCAAUGUCACAUCUCAACCACCAGGGGGCAUGAACAAGACGGGGAAAACCCAGGAGUUGCUGAUGGGAAAACUUUGGCACCUGGAACCACGCCUAGGGGAAAGAGGACACCCCGCUUCCCAAGCUGGGCAUGGGCACAGUCACUGCCAGGAUGUGUCCACUGUCUUCCUGCGUCCUGGCUUCUCUGCCUUCAUGAAGAAGUGGAGAGCAUAGAAUGGAAUUGGACUUUGAGGGGUCAGCCUAUCCAACCUUCCUGUUCUGCAAGGGGGAAGGAAUUACUCUAGAUUACACAGCAAGUUAGUGGCAAAUUACUGUGAUUUUCAUCAGUUUCAGGAAUAUGGCUCCUUGAUGGACCCAGCCCUGGUCUCAGUUUUGGGACAGGUGUCCAGCUGCUGUCCCUAGCAUCAGAGGUGCUCUCUCUUAUCUCUCUGGUCUUCCCUUUUCCCUCACACUUUCCGUGACUCUGUUUUUCUUUGACUUUUUCUCCCAGUUUCUGUCUGACUGCUUCUUCAUCUCUUCCUCUGUCUGCCUCCUGUCUCCAUCCCUGCCCUCUGGGGACUUUGCUGUGCUCCUUCCCUCAAUGGGUCCCCAGAGCAAGAUAUUUCCUGUCGUCACUCCUCAGGGACUCAUAGCUCUCUGAAGCUCUGUUUUCCAAGCCAGUGUCUCAGUUCCACUCCUGGGAUCAGGCAGAGAAGUUAUGAUUUGGUAGCAUCAUCAGUGAUGUGAUUUCGGGAGGUAGGAAGGCCCCCUGAUACUGUCCCCAGCACUCCACCCCCUACGGUGCCAACCGUAAACUCGGGAUGGCACCUGGUGUGGGCAAGACCCGUUGCUCAUGCGGUCCCUGCCCGGUGAGCUCACCAUGUGGGAGUGAGGGCGAGAGAAGACAGCCACACGACUGAUUCAAUCGAGAUUAGAAUGCUCUGAGUACAAAAGGAGUGCUUGCCGUGGGACAGAGCAGGUGGAGAUAGACCCUGGUUAGCCCUGGGGCAGCUCCGUGAGGUGGGGGCACUGAACUGGGCUUUGAAGGAUAUGUGGGACUUCGGGAGGCAGGGAUGUGUGCCCUGUCUGCCGGAGCUGGGUUGGGGUUUCUGCCUGCUGUCCCGUGACUCCGGCUGCCCUAGCCCUGGGGGAGGAGGGCGGUGCCGCUGAGUCACUGCCUGGGCCUCUGGGCCUGGAACCGCGGCCCCCAGCUGCCUCCUGGUUCCCAGCACACACACAGGCCCGUGAAGUCCCAGCACGCACCUGCAGCUUCGGGCACGCCAACGAACUGUGACUCGCAGGCAUUUGUCAUGAGAACAAGACUGGGCCUGAAUCUCCAGGCCCCCGUGAACAGGGGCUGCCUCCCCUCGCCCAGGGCCCAGAAUACCUUUUCCCGUUGACAACUCCCGCUCCCGCUGUGGCCAGGGCGGGGCCGGGGGAGGGGCUGCCCUUGGCUGCCCAGGAGCCG